rnacentral:tRNA from 1 species
GCGAUCGUGGUGGAAUUGGUAGACACGCUAUCUUGAGGGGGUAGUGCCAACAGGUGUAAGGGUUCAAAUCCCUUCGAUCGCACCA